rnacentral:rRNA from 1 species
UACGUAGGGUCCGAGCGUUGUCCGGAAUUAUUGGGCGUAAAGGGCUCGUAGGCGGUUUGUCACGUCGGGCGUGAAAACUCAGGGCUCAACCCUGAGCGUGCGUCCGAUACGGGCAGACUAGAGGUAUGCAGGGGAGAACGGAAUUCCUGGUGUAGAGGUGAAAUUCGUAGAUAUCGAGUGGAACACCGGUGGCGAAGGCGGCAUCCUGGACCGGCAUUGACGCUGAGGAGCGAAAGCCAGGGGAGCAAAACAGGG